CUGAAAUAGUGAUCUUUUAAGAAUGUAUGGUUAAAAAAGAAUAAAAAGUUUUGAGUUUACGUGUAAUAUUAUUUUAUUAGAGAAUGUGUACUAUGUAGUUAAAAAGAAGAAAGAGAAAUAUGUAUUUUAGAAAUAAUGGAGGCCAAACAGGGGGUAAAUCUCAACAUUUUUUUUGUUAAAUCAGGCUAAAUAUUAAAAGAGUUUAUUAUAUCAAAAAUUAUACUUAACCAAACACAAAAAUAUCACCAACAAGGAGUAAUCUAUAGGGUCUAGACACACAAGGUUACAAUAAAGGCAUUAAUUUUGAUCCAACUUAGCAAGUAGUCUACUCCAUUUUAUCAAGUUUCCAGUCCAAUGCACGACUUAAGGACUCGUCGAGCAAUUGUCACAUUACAUGGGAAGGCUGAGGAAGUUGUAAGUGAAAAGAACUAGAAGGUGAAUCGUCUUCCAGACUUAUGUCACUUAGAAUAGAAUCCUCCGCCUCAGUCCUCCUUCAACCAUCAUCCACUAAUAACAUAUCAACUAACUCGUAAGCUUCGUCAACAAUGACAGCAUACAACAUCCACAUGCUACAAAUAUUAUUUUCAAUCAUAAUUAUGUUGGGUUUAUUAAUUUGUUACGUGGGCUUACAUAUAUAAUUAACUGUGUAUAAGGUUAUCUUAAAGUUAAGCUUAAUUAAAGUGAUUUAAUAAAGAAUUAAAUUGUUCGGUGUAGGGCAUUCAAAUAAGGUGUGGACACAUUCUUUAUGUCAUCACAUCAACACAAUAAUACAAGAGGAAACAUAUUGAAGAAGAUCCAAAACCUACAAUCAAACCCACAAUCAAGAAUUAAGAUGAUCAAUAACCAAUAUUCAAGAUCCGGAAUUAAGAUGCAGUAUUAAAGAAAUAUUCCCAAUGAAUUAAGGUAUGUUCCACACUUUAUAAUUCUCGUGAUGACUUGAUUGGAGGAUCUUGACAAUAAAGUAAUUAUAUUUUCUAGUUUUGAGAUUUGAUGUUUCAACGAGUGGUAUUAGAGCCAACUCCAUGUUAAACCAUUGAGAUUAAAGGAAGAUUUUAGGGUUAAAUUCAUACUUUGGUUUUACAAAACGUUGGGUUGUGAAUUUCAAAUCCUAGGUAUCAAAAUUUUGGAAUUUUUGGGAUUUUUCAGUAUUGCUACAGCGUCGUAGCAUUGCGACGCCAUGUUAGGGCGUCACGAGCUGCGUUCAGUUAAGUUGGCAACGCCCUAUUGUCGCUGGGUAUUGCAGCGCCCUAAUUCUAUCCCCAUUAUUUUUUUUCUUUCGGACACAGAAGAGAAAAAUAAAAAUAAAAUAUAAAGGUAUCAUCAAUUUCAAAUCUUAGUACUUAAUAUUUAUUUCAGAUUACUAAUUUCUUAAAAUAGAUUAGUUGAAGUAACAUAUUAUCAAAGUAACCUCUCUUGUCUAAAUUAAUUUAUUUAGAAUAUUAGGAGGGUUGUGUGUAUGUUAUUCAUUCGAAUAUUCACCGGUCCAAAUAAAAGGUCAAUAUUUGGCUGAACUAUUUGCACACGUGGUAAUAAAUGUGACAAUUGUAAUGUUUUUCAUUAUGUUAACAAUGAGUUAGUCCAAAGAUAAACUUGAUCUUUGAUCAGAUUUAUUGUCAAUAUUUGAUUACUAUACUAAGACUACAACUUACUAGAUAUUUUCGUCCGAAGAUUAAAUUUCAAUGCUGUGCUAGAUCUCUUGUGAUGGGACGCACCAUUAUUUGAAAUUAUCGAUUGUCCAAUAUGGAUUCCAUGUGAACAUGUUAAUUAGGUUUAAGUUUUCUAUUAAGUUAAUCCAUCAACUUCUACAAUUUCUGCCAACAUCAUUUCAAUUCUUGUGCUUGAAUCAAAAUUUAAGGACUGGAAUGAGAACGUUUUCAUUGUUCUUAGCGGCAUGGAUCUAGACCUUGCUUUAAGGAUUGAACAAUCCACUGCUCUUACGGAUAAAAUUUUCACUAAUAAAAAGGGACUCAAAUAAGUGGAAUCAUUUAAACCGCAUGGAUCUUGUGAUCAUAAAACAUGGAGUUCCACUAACAUUCAGGGGCCUAAGGUAACUAAUGCCAAGGGAUUUCUUAAAGAAAUUGAAAAAAAGCUUUCCAAAAAGCAAUAGGGCUGAAAUUAGCUCGCUUCUGGCGAACUUGGCUUCGUUAAAGAAUAAGGUUGAAUAAAACAUAAAUGAGUAGUACAUUAUGGAUGUCUCGUCUUGCUUUAAGAUUAAAGGCAUUAAAGUUUAAGUUGUUUGAUGACUUUCUCGUGCAUUUGAUUUUGAUUUCUCUUCUUGCACAACUCGAUUAAUUUAAGGUCAGUUACAGUUGCCAAAAAGGGAAUGGACUCCCUAUGAGCUCAUUUCACAUUGUGUGAGAGAAGAAAAAUGUUUAAAGUAAGAGAGAACUGGAAAUACUUACUUGGUUAGUACGUCUAAUAACAAGUUAAAGAAAAAGGAAACUGCAUUUAGUUCAGUUCAAAAGAAGCAGCAAAAGCUGAAAAGAAUUAAGCAAGAGAGCCAACUGGCGGCAAGUUCUCGUAUAUAAAAAAAUGCAAGCAAUUGUCUUGACUCAAUCAAUGAUCUGAUUUACCAAAAUCAUUGGGAAAAAGUAUUUAUUUUUAAAAUAAUUACAGGGUGGACGGGGACUAUAAAUAUCCAGCCUCUGCUGCAUGCAAAAGCGCAAGCCUCUCCUACAGAGUCUAUUCUUCACCACAUUAAUUUCCUCCAUUAUUAAGCUUUUGAUUUCAUUUUUUAAGCGAAAAUAUGGAAAUCUAAAAAAAAAAAAUUAAAAGGUUUUCAAGCUGCCGGGGAGUCUCUUUUGAGAUUAAACCACAUUCUGAUCCAUUUGCCCUCCCAACUUCGGCCAUAAUGGAAGCUUUUCUAAACUGGUUCCUUAAUUGGAAACAGUCAGAUUGAUCUUUUGCUUAAUUCAAUUAUUGCGGAUGCCAGUUCUUUAUUUGGUUAUGUAACCUAUAUUUGCUUAAUACAUUUGCCUCUUAUAAAGAACAUUACAUGUGAAUUCACAUGGUAUUAAACAUAAAUUAAUUGAUGAGAAUUUCACUUCAUUAUGGAACAAGCUAUUAGGUCACAUAUCUCAAAAUAAAAUAGAAUGGCUUAUGAUCCCCCUGAUUUUACAAACCUUAAUGUUUGUGUUAAUUACAUUAAUGAGAAACAAAUAAAUAUAAGGAGAUUAGGUGUCAAAAGAACUUCAGACGUCUUAGAACUAAUUCAUGUGGAUAUCUAUGGGACAUUCCUUUCGGCUUCUUAGAAUGGUCAAUGGUCAUUUAUUACGUUCAUAGACGAUUUUUCUCAUUAUGACUAUAUCUCAUUCAAAAGGAAUCUCAAUAACUAGACAAGUUCAAGCUUUAUAAAAUAAUUUAGGUUAGAUCUUACUAUAGUGGUUAAUACUAUGACGGAUUAGGAGAACAACGUCCAGAGCCUUUUCCUAAAUUCCUAAAGGAAUGUGUAAUCAUCUCACAGUACAGCAAAAUCUCUCUUUCUAAAGAUUGCAACUUAAGUUCUCUAUAAAAUUCCAAAUAAAGCAACUAUUAAACCCCUUAUGAACUUUGGAUGGGCAAGAAGCCUAAUUUGAAGCACUUGUACAUUUAGGGUUGUUCGGUUAAGGCAAGGCCUUGUAGGCCAUAAAAAAAAAACAAGCUGGACUCCAAAAUUGUCAGUUACUACUUUAUUGGAUAAUUUGAAAGGUCAAGGGGUUACAAAUUUUAAGAUCCACUAUCAGGUCAAUUUUCAAAAUAGAAAAUGUCCAAUUUUUUUACGAUGCCGAGUUUACGGAAGGAGAUAAGGUUAUAAGGUUAAGGAUUUUAUCUUGGAAGAAGAAUAUGUACAUAUUUCUUCUAUUACAAUUGACAAUGAUUAGGACCAGGGACAUUCUUGCUCCAGAUCUAGUUUCACUCCAACUAAAGUUUAUAGUUGAUCCCGUUAAAGAAUAAGGUAGGGCCAUUUGGAAUUAGGGAUAUUUAGAUUUCAUUGCAUGUAAUUUUCAUGCAAUACAUCCAUACUUGAUCUAUGUUGAUUGUGUUGAUAUACAUGACCAUUAAGGGUUUAGUUAUGAUAUUUGUAACAAAGACCGCUUUGAUCCUAUAUUAAUAUAAUCAAUGGAUGAGACUGUUCAGAGAUGCUUUUGGCUAUGAUAGCAAAAGUUUUGAUGUCAUAAUGUUAUACACUUAGCAGGUAACAUAUGUGGCUCAAGUGGGAGAUUGUUGGGUUUAUUAAUUUAGCUGGAAGAUCCUGGCAAUAAAGUAAUUAGGUUUUCAAGUUUUGAGAUUUAAAGUUUCAUAAAAUUCUAACAGAUUAAUGAUAAAACAAAAUAAAAAUGACUCAUAGAUAAGUAUAAACGCAAUCGUGCCAUUUUUGCCUACUUUUGAAAAUGAAAGUAGAAAUUUGACACUAAUUUCAUCACCAAUGAGACUUAGUUUGUCAAAAAAGAGGAUGUCAAAGAUGAUAUAAUGCUGAGAAAAAUAGGCUUUAAAAUAAAUAUAACCAUACUCCAACUAUGGUUUUCCAACUAUUAAGACUGGAUAGUUUGCCCCUCCAACUCUAAUAACUAGCUAUUUCGAUCCUCCAACUAUUUGUACCCACCAUUUUAGUCCUCACAUUAGCACUUAAAACCAUAUUUGUGCCUCCAUCACUAGUCAACUCCACUUUGUUCCCCCAACUACGGUUUGUACCAUAUUGAUCAUUCUUCUAUCAGGAAUAGGUUUAGUUCUCAAAGUAUCAGUCCAAUUAGGUCUUAUAACUAAUAUUUUUCAUCAUUUUGGUGAUUAGGUUAUUCUUAUGCGAGGGUCCCUUUUGCUCUCUUACUCUUCCCCAGCUCUUAUUCCUUAGCUGGCUUCGUUCAGCUGACCUUUCACUUGGGGUUUUGCUCCUGGCUGGCCUAACCAAGGCUGUCAAUUUGAUCCAGCAAUUUACAAAUUUCAAUUCUGAUCUCCAACUAUUUGUCAGCAUCAAUUUUGUCCUUUAGCUAUCUGUCAAAACGAACUUAGUCCCUCAAUUAUGCCCUUCUUGAAUUUUCCCUCAAACUAUUAUUUAGCACCACUUUAGUCCUCAAACUAUCAUCAGCGUCAAUUUUUCUCCCUCUAUCACUAAGCGACACUGGUUCUUCAGCUGUCCAUUCCCUUCACUUCUGUACUCCAUGUUCGUUUCAAACGAGUUUGGUCCCCCAACCUCAAUUCGAUCAAGGUAUAUAUUAGAUCAUAUAAUUGAUUCUGUUAAUUUGAGUGAGUGAGUGAUAAGCUGUCAUAGUUGGUAGUUAAUGUUGAACUGUCAUGUAACUAAUUCUAAACACCAGUCAGCCUAUUUAUAUUGUUUGGAUUGUAACACAUGAUACAUGUUUUCAUGAAAUGAAUUUCUUCUCUACGGUUGUUCUCUCCAGAUUCUACUCUAAUCUUCAAACCUUGGUAUCAGUAUUCUCUUCCAUUUAUUCUCUUCAAACAUUAAUAUGGUAUCAGAGCAGGUUGCUUGAUCUGCUGUAAGUAGUCUCAUGAAAAUUCAAAACUGUUCAAACGUAGGGUGCCACUUUCUUUUCCUUUUCUUUCUCUUGGAUAUUGAACUGAGAUCAUCUUCAAGUAAAUCCACCUUAUAUGAAACUUCGAAUCCAUAUUACCUUCAUCAUUCUGAUAGCCCAGGAUUGGUACUAGUUUCGCAGCCUCACCGGAGAAAAUUAUACCUCCUGGAGUAGAGUGAUGCUGAUCGCAUUGUCCAUGAAAAACAAGCUUGGAUUUGAGGAUGGAUCAAUUGAAAAGCCUGAAGGUACUGAUUCGGAUGUCCUCAGCUCUUGGACUAGAAAUAACAAUGUAGAUAUUUUUUGGAUAUUGAAUUCUGUUUCUAAGGAAAUUUCUGCUAGUAUUAUAUAUGUUGAGUCCACACAUGAAAUAUGGCUUGAUCUUAAAGAAAGUUUCCAACUGAAAUAUAAACCUAGGAUCUUCCAGCUAAAGCAUGAAUUGAUGAGUUUAGCUCAAGAUCAAAAUUCUGUUAGCAUAUACUUUACAAAACUGAAAACUACAUGGGAAGAAUUAAGCAAUUAUAGGCCUGUAUGUUCUUGUAGCAAAUGCACUUGUGGUGGUGUUAAGAAUCCUAGUUCUUAUUAUCAGAUUGAGUGCGUAAUGUCUUUUCUUAUAGGACUAAAUGAUUCUUAUUCACAAGUUCGAGGACAAUUACUUUUCAUGGAUCCAUUACCGUCUACAAAUAAAGCUUUUGCUCUAAUCUCGCCAGAAGAAGAUCAGAGGAAGAUCACUAGCCAAGUUGGUUGUACUUCAGAUCCUGUUGGAAGUAUGACGUUUACUGUUAAAUCAUAUAAUGCUAAACGCCCUGGAAUUCCUAAUUCUGGAACUAUAGCAAUGGUAGUAAUCGAAAUGAUUCAACAAUGGAGGUUACAAAGGAUAGAAGAAAGAGGGACCUUUUUGUACCCAUUGCAACUUCCAUGGCCAUACGGUUGAUAGAUGCUAUGAGAUUCAUGGCUACCCACCUGGUUACAAAGUAAGAGACAGAGAUAACUCAGCCUAUACCAGCAACAACAUUGCAAUUAAUCAGGUGUCAAAUCAGAAUGAACAACAAAGUGAAAUGGGGAGCUUUGUCCAAAAUCUCAAUUCCAACCAAUACCAACAUCUCAUGUCUAUGCUGUCAAAUUAUUUGGCCUCCUGUCAAAACUACUGAUGAUUUUACUACUACUUAUAUGGCAGGUAUUUGAAUCUCAAUUGCAUUUGAGUUCUAUCUUUUCAUUUACUCAAUAUUGGAUAGUUGAUUCCGGUGCUAUAAGGCAUAUAUGUUCAACUGCUGAUGCUUUCGAUUCUAUGAAACCUUCUUAAAAUUCCAAGGUCACCUUACCAAAUCAUACUCAAAUCCCAGUGAACUACUCUGGUGACAUUAGACUGAGCUCUAUGCUUGUCCUCAAGGAUUUUUUAUAAGUUCCUCGAUUCAAGUUUAACCUGAUAUCUAUAAGUGCACUCACUUGUGGAUCAAAUCUCACGAUCAACUUUCUUCCUGAUUGCAGCAGUAUCCAAGAACACAACACCGAGAAGAUGAUUGGCAAGGGUGAUAAGUUUGAAGAUCUCUAUGUUCUGGAUAAAAAAAACAAUCUGAAUUUUUUCUCUACAACAUAUGUAAAUACCGUUUCAGCUCAUAUAUGGCAUAGAAGGCUUGUCUAUCUUCUGACGUUUAGAUACUUUGAAACACCAUUUGCAUUGUGAUGUAUCUAGAUUGAAUAAAGCUGAUCUUUGUUACAUUUGUCCCCUUGCAAAAGAAAGAUGAUUAUCUUUUGAUUCUCACAAUCAUAUGUCUCAAUUUCCAUUUGACUUGGCGCAUUGUGAUGUAUCUAGAUUGAAUAAAGCUGACCUUAUCAUGUUCCUUCUCAUGCUGGCCACGGAUUUUUCUUAACCUUGGUGGAUGAUUGUACUCGGUUUACAUGGAUUUAUCUGUUAAAGCAAAAAUCUGAUGUUGAUACUGUUAUUCUAAAGUUCUUUAACAUGAUAUCUACACAGUUUAAUACCAAAAUCAACGUGUUCAGAUCUGAUAAUGCACCGAGCUGACCUUUGCUGAAUUCUUCAAUAAUAGAGGCGUCUUACAUCAAUUUUCAUGUGUUGAGAGGCCACAAUAAAACUCCGCUGUAGAAAGGAAAUAUCAACAUCUCUUCAACGUUGCACGAUCACUAUACUUUCAAUCCAGAGUUCCAAUUCAAUUUUGGAGUAAGUUUGUCCUUACUGCAGCCUACCGUAUCAAUAAAAUACCCUCUCCUUUGCUCAAACACAGUACUCCUUAUGAAGUCCUACACAAACGCUCAACAGACUAUUCUCACUUCAAGGUGUUUGGGUGUCUGUCGUUUGCAUCGACACUCUUUGUUCAUAGAACCAAAUUCCAACGAAGAUCUAGAGUUUGUGUGUUUCUUAGUUAUCCACGAGGUAUGAAAGGUUAUAGAUUAUAUGAUACUGCAUCAAAACAGAUCUUCGUAUUCAGAGAUGUCCUAUUCCAUGACGGAAUCUUUCCAUUUUAUUCUGUUGUUUCCUCAGACGAGUUAAUUGACCCUUUCCCUGAUCUUGUCUUGCCAAUUCCUUUACUUGAAAAGUCUCCCAUCCCUCAGUUUCUACCUUCCAAUCAUCAUAGCACACAUAAUGAUAUUCCAGCUGCUUCCCAUAAUGAUAAUUUUGAAACUUCAGAUGCAGAUCCACAACAUUCCAAUUCUUUUCUAGAUAAAACUGCCCUAAGAAGGUCUACUAGAACAUCAAAGCCUCCUUCCUAUCUAAGAGAAUUUCAUUGCAAUCUUUUGCACCAGAAAUAUUCGAAUAAUGAAACUCCUCCAUGCACCAGUGCAUAUCCUAUAUCUAAAUACUUGUCCUAUAAUUCCUCAUCUCAUACUCACAUAAACUUCGUCCUAAAUGUUUCAUCCCAAUUUGAACCUUGACAUUAUCAUCAAGCCGUGAAAUUUCCACAAUGGAGGGUUGCCGUGACAGCUGAAUUGGAUGCUAUGGGAUCGAAUAAAACUUGGUCAGUCACUUCAUUGCCCAGCGGAAAACAUUCUAUUGGUUGUAGAUGGAUUUACAAAAUCAAAUACAAAUCAAAUGGUACCAUUGAAAGAUACAAAGCACGCUUAGUUGCCAAAGGACAUACACAACAAGAAGGAUGCAAAGAGACUUUUUACAUGUAGCAAAACUAGUUAAAGUUUUGUUAGCACUUGCUUCAAGUCACAAAUGGCAUUUGUUAUAACUUGAUGUGACAAUGCCUUCCUUAAUGGAGAUUUAUUUGAAGAAGUAUAUAUGGAUCUUCUACUUGGUUAUGAUGUGCAAAGGAAAUUGACACACACGGGGAGAAAUUGGUUUGUAAACUUCACAAAUCAAUAUAUGGUCUCAAGCAAGCUUUUGAGACAAUGGUACUCCAAGUUUUCUCAGCACUUAUUCAAUUUGGCUUUGUUCAAUCUAAGGUAGAUUACUCUUUAUUCACCAAAGGAUCUGGUGCUUCAUUUGUUGCUUUAUUAGUCUACGUGGAUGAUGGAAUAGUCACUGGUCCAAACAGUCAGGUAAUAUAAUCUUUAAAGGGUUUUCUCCACACACAAUUUAAACUCAAGGAUUUGGGGCCUCUGAAGUACUUCCUUGGUCUUGAAAUUGCACAAUCAGCCAAAGGCCAAUUAUUAUCUCAGAGGCAUUAUACUCUCCAGCUUCUUGAAGACAUGAGAUAUCUAGCUUGCAAGCCCAUAUCUGUCCCUAUGGAUCCUAAAGUCUAUUCUAAUGCACGUGAAGGUAAAAUUCUAUAUGACAUUUCUCAAUAUAGACAACUAGUUGGACGCCUUCUUUAUCUUACUUUAUCCCAACCAGACAUCACUUUUGCUGUCCACAAAAUCAGCCAAUUUUUGGCUAAACCUCAUAGACCUCACUUUAAAGCUACGCAUCAUCUCCUAAAUUAUCUUAAAUCCAAUCCUGGACAGGGUUUGUUCUUUUCCUCCUCAUCCUCUCUCCAGUUAGAGGCCUUUUCAGAUUCUGAUUGGGGCUCAUGUCCAGACACCAGGAAAUCUAUGAUUGGUUUCUGCAUAUUCUUAGGUAACUCCCCAGUAUCAUGGAAAAUAAAAAGCAGACCAUUUCUCG
rnacentral:lncRNA from 1 species